GUAGGUGAACCUGCGGAGGGAUCAUUAACGAGCAAGGGUGGCACACCCGACCUCCAACCCUUUGUAUUAAAAACCACCGUUGCCUCGGGGGAGGUGGGACGCCAAGCGCGGACCGCAUCCGCCGGUGGACCACUGAAACACUGCAUAUCUACGUCCGAGUAAACCUUUAAUAAUUAAAACUUUCAACAACGGAUCUCUUGGUUCUG
rnacentral:misc_RNA from 1 species